UCCUUGGGAUGGAUUUUUUAUGCAUGAAAUCCUCAAGAUUCUGCUAUUUGUUGUAUUUCAUGUUGUGUCUUUACUUCCAUCAAUUGUUGAAAAUGUUUGCAAAGACAGCAAGAAAUUUCAGCAGAGGAAAUGUGAAAGAGCUGCUGGAGCAGGAAAGGGCUGUUGCCAGUUGCAGGAAAGGCAGAUUAAUACAGGUCAUUUGUCCUGUGCUGACUUUCAGAGCUGUUGUUACUGCCUGUUCUGCUGUGGGUGCAUUCGCAUUGUUUCAUGAAGAGAAUGCAAAGAGGACAAUGAAAAGCCUUGUCUGAAGGAUAACACUUACAAUUUCCCUAUCAGUUUGAACCAAAUCACAGACCUUACAGAGAAAAUCUGGUGUGUUGAAGAAGUCAGUAUAUUUUUCAAACUUUUCAUUGUAUAAACAAGACCCAAAGCCAAACCCAGAGGAAGUUCAUGAAAAUGUGCCAUGUAAAUCCAGAAGAAAAAUGUUUUACCAUUUACAAAAGGCAGAGCUAUUUGCUUUUUUUCCAGCUACUGACAAGUCAUUGCCUGUUUUAAGCAUGGAAUUUUGGUGGAGUGGAUCUAGACUUCUCACAAUGGCUAUACCUUCCUUGGGAGACACAUGGUCUAAAAUUCAACAUUCUACCUUUGCGUAUGUCCUGCGGGGCGAGAGCUGUUUCUUGCUGUCCAAAUAAAUAAAUAAAUAAAUAACCUUAAUUCUUAAAAAUAACUUCUUAAAAGUAACUGAAGAUGUGUUGCUGGCUACCAGAUAGUAAAACCGUUUAAAUUCUUCUUCAUAGUAUAAGAUUAGACAAAGGACACCUUGGGUUUGUAUAGUUAUCCAUGCAUUGUACUCUACCAGCUCGUUCUUGGUCUUGGUUUUGGGUGAUGAUUUCAGAUCACGCUGAAGGAGCUGACAGUGCCCAACAAGACCAUUGGUUUGACAGUGUCCUUUCCACAACUUUUGUUAAAAUGAGCCAUUCAAAGGGUGUUGCAUCACCAAACGAGGUUCAUUAGAACACAAACUAGGAGCAGUGCUAUCCAAGAAAGGUUUAAACAGUAGGGCAUAAAUAGGUUCAUCCUUGUUCACUGUUCUUGCAGAUGGGUCUGUGCCCACAGUCUUGGUCAGUCUGGCCGGUUUGGGUGCCUUUUGGAGCUCUGCUAUCCCCUGGAGCCAUGGGGACAUUGCCGUCUCUGGGGCAAGGUGAUGUUGCUCCCCCUGGUUUUCUCAGGAGUCUCUGGGUAUCUCCAAGGACAGGCUGUCAUCCUCUUUGGCUGACUGUCCAUCAAGGUGACCCUUCUUUAGAGAAGAAACAUAUCUUAUCAGACAACAGGAGCCACCUUCUGUGCUACCCACCUAUGCCUAACUAUGGUUCAUGAAGUGCCAAUGAAAUGCAAGCAGAUAAAGCAAAUGCUGCCCAUCACAGGAAGUAGCAUUGCCACGAUGUGGGGCCUUCUUUCCCUCCGUGUUUAUGUGUGUG